rnacentral:rRNA from 1 species
GUGGUGGCACAAAAUCGGAGGCCCCGACUGUUUACUAAAAACACAACACAGUGCAAUCAUUAAUAUGAUAGUAUACUGUGUGAAAUUUGCCCGAUGCCAUUAAUAUAAGAGCGGUUAUGGGUAACUGUGACUAAUCGAAAAUCUGGUUAAUAGCGGUCUUAACUAUGAGGAUCCUAAGGUAGCAAAAUAAGUUGGCCAUUAAAUGUGGUCCGGUAUCAAUAAUGUAACGAUGGCCUCACUGUCUCUACAACUUGCUCAGUGAAAUUGAAUUACACGUGCAGAUGCGUGUUGCCUCCAGGGGGACGGGAAGACCCUAUGCAGCUUCUA